UAAGACUCGAGAGUGCACUCAAAUCCAGCCCUGUUUCCUCUUGCUAUGGCUGAUCACAGAUGAGAAGAAUACUCUGCAUCGAACAUGAUACAAUGCAUUCACCGAGAAGGCGAUCAUCUUCCUCUGCGAUCUUGGCCGGGAUGCAGCCCUUCCAGAAACGAUGAACACGUGCAGACACAAUGAGAGGAGAAGUGAACCGACAGGGAGUGAGAGGAUUUGUGCUCGUGAUGAACAGGGAGGCUGUGUGUGCGUGCCGUGAUUCACCUAGCGAAGGGCCCGCCGCAGAUUCUCCAUCACGGAGAGCCACGGAGAAAUCAAAAUUGAGAUAUGGACAGGGCAAACAUGAUCGGGAACGAUCGAUACUUGCGGAUGAUGGAGCGACGACACGUAGGUCUCGUCCACUGGCUGCUAGUAUAAACACGUUGCAUCAGUCCCUGCCGUUCUCUGCGCUCCAUUCUUCUGCCGGUGCGAGGAAGAGAGCUUUGCUGUCGCGGCUUCAUAGUCGGGAUGUGAUUAGUCUUAUACUGCAAAAAGUUUGCAGCUACUGUCCGAAGUUUGGGAUUGAUUCAGCUCAAGCCCAUGAGGAUCACAGAGAAAUAUCAUUACAGCUACUGUCCAAAAUUUGGGAUUGAUGAUCAACCCGCUUUCUGUCAAGCUGCCAAUUCAGGCGUCUUGGUCCUUUCCUCCUCCUGAUAGGGUUGAUGCUGAAUUUAGAGCAAGUUAGAAGUUCGAAUGAAACAACGGUACUCGAAGCACCACAGAGCUCGGAUUUGAAAGCAUGCGAGUCUCCGACGUUGAUGAGAAGAGAGAGGGGUCGACAGAGAAAAAGGACGAGGGGAGUAUGGAAGCAUGGCGGAAGACGACGAGGCGUCAGUAUGUGUCACUCUUUGUCCGAUCUCGUAGUGGAGUCGGGCGACCGUCGGACGCCUCCCUGGCUCGGGUCUGCUUCACGACCGGGAAGGAGCCGCCCAUCCCUUUCCGAGGAGAAACUGAUGUGAUGCUGCCAUGGACGCCCACGUGAACUCACGGGACUCGCGCUGCUGUGCACAGGCCCCAUUUGAGCAUGGCCAACUAUUGUUCUUAGCUGAUGGCAGUACGCCGCAGAAGAAAUCUUAGAUUCCAUACAAUCUGAUGGUAACAUCCACCACCAGUACCUCUGCUCCUGUGAGAGAAGGGAGAAGGAUGAGUUUGAGAUUGAACCAAGUGUGGGAGAUCAAUUAGUAGAAUGGGUGGAGAAGACAAAAAUAAAGAUGUUGACUAAUAAAGUAUAGUUAUUGCAUUGU